AGCGAACGCUGGCGGCAGGCUUAACACAUGCAAGUCGAACGGGCGUAGCAAUACGUCAGUGGCAGACGGGUGAGUAACGCGUGGGAACGUACCUUUUGGUUCGGAACAACACAGGGAAACUUGUGCUAAUACCGGAUAAGCCCUUACGGGGAAAGAUUUAUCGCCGAAAGAUCGGCCCGCGUCUGAUUAGCUAGUUGGUGAGGUAAUGGCUCACCAAGGCGACGAUCAGUAGCUGGUCUGAGAGGAUGAUCAGCCACAUUGGGACUGAGACACGGCCCAAACUCCUACGGGAGGCAGCAGUGGGGAAUAUUGGACAAUGGGGGCGAACCCUGAUCCAGCCAUGCCGCGUGAGUGAUGAAGGCCCUAGGGUUGUAAAGCUCUUUUGUGCGGGAAGAUAAUGACGGUACCGCAAGAAUAAGCCCCGGCUAACUUCGUGCCAGCAGCCGCGGUAAGGCACGACUGU
rnacentral:rRNA from 1 species